CUCGGCUGUGGGACAGCGCGGCCGCGCACAGCGAGCUCCCCGCAUCUGCCUGGGGGAUGUUGAGCCGCGGUGUCCCCGCACAUUAGGGUGAAGGGAGCGCUGCGGGGGGAGCGGGACGUGCGCGACUCCCAUUGCCAGAACAAUUAAUAUUCAGUAUUCUGAACAUCUUUGACUGCCACUGAGCUGUGAGAGAGGAGGAAACAGCCCCUCAUGGGAUCAUGCCUGGCACAAGAAGUAACAACAUAAAAGAGACAGCUAAGCUUCACAAACCUCCAAGCUACGAUGAACAAUGCAGCAGUCUCCUAGCCUUCCAUCCCAGCUGUGAAAAGUUGCAAGAUUUAUAUUCAAGCCCUCUGCUACUCCAGGAAAUCAAGAUGAUGAGUGUUGACAGUUGAUAGGAACACAUUUUAUGUCAGUGCAUGCAAGUGCUCAAGCACCCUGAGAAUACUAUUUGAUAACAAAAUCUGAGCUAAGACAACCCAAACCACGAAGGGAGUUCAGUUGACAACCACUCAGCCACUCACCAGAGGGAGCCCAUUUUCCCCAAAAGCCGGUAUUUGUAGUACAGCCAACCUGCUGGGUCCUCAGAACUACCCCGUUAAAAACUCUGCAGCUGCUGGGAGGAGUAGCUGCCAACUAAGGGAGGCACACGGACAUGCUGUGAACAGGAAAGGACAGAGUGUAAAGGGUUUUUGUAGCUGCUUGAUUAGUACUUUCUGCAGCACAAAAUGUUCUUUAUUGAAGAAGUUGCUGCAUUGGAGUUUCAAAUGGAAUGUGUCUGGGAGAAAACAGUUAUGUAUCUGCAGCAUGUCACUGACAGAGGUGAUUUUAUACUGUCCUAGAUACUGUGAGGCAGCACUCAGUAGAUGCCACAGCACAGACCUGAACUACUGAUAAGUAAAAAUCAAGCCCCAUUGAUUAUUGCCUUCCAUGGAAGGCAUAUUUGUUGGUGCAGUCACUUUUAAAAUUUCCCUUUCAGAUUUGCAAUAGUGAAGCCACACAUUUUUUGCCACUUGUCAGACUAAUUCAAUAGCAAAAUCCAAGCAACAAGAAUUUGAUCUGGUCUGUAUCUUCAGAAACAUGCUGAAUACAGCCAGCUGAUUUUUAUUUGAAGGUUAGAUUACAGAACUCAGGCUGGGUCUAUCACCUGUUUUUGGAAAGGUUCCACAUUAAUGGGGACUCACUGGUCCAUCAUAGAUAAUGAAUCUCAACACAGCACUGGCUAGACACCAGCCUACCAGAACUUCACUGUACCAAGUUAAUCUGAGGUUGAAACAAGAAGACAAAAUAAAGAUAUUGACAUACUCAAUUACAUUUGGGAAUGAGUAUGGAAUCUGGAAAUCCCUUUGUCAGGUGCAGACAGCUUUUUGGCUCAGAAGAGUUCUUAGUGUUAAGCACACACAAAAUGGUAAAAUAUUCCACAGGCAGUCUUUAAAAUAAAGAAUUCUGUUACAGA